GGCAAAUCCGGAGCUGGAGACUCGUGCCGGCUAAAAAGGCGAGGGGGGAGGAGGGGCCAGCACGUGAAAAUCCCUCUCGGGGUUCACAUGUUCACUUUUGAAAAACGCCUAGAAACUGCGAUCGAGCUGUCCCCCGCGCCCCACAGUCCAUCUGGCUAGAGGAAGCGGGUCCCGUCUCCCUUCAGGGGUGACGACUUAGCCAUAUACUCCGGGCUCAGGCUGGGAGACCAGGCAGGGGCGCGCCGGAGGCGAAGGCAACAUUAAAAGUUUCGCAUUUUAUCGCCUGGCCUGACUCGGAGGUCGCCCCAGACAAACCGCUCGGGUAGAGGCACGGGCUUCUACCGCAUUUCUUUCGCCCUCCCCAAGAUAUUUUUUAAAACCCCAAGGCAAACACCGAUCACCUCCCACCCUACCCCAAAAUGGACAGACGCACGCUCGCGCAGCGCGUUAAACUCGGAGAGGGGAGGGAAAAAAGAGUUGCUGGGGAAACAACCCCGAAAGAAAAAAAAAAAAAAUCCAGCUUCUAAAAUGAGAAUAAAUGAAUAUGGAGAACCGUAAACACUAGGCGGCCGAAGCAGGGCUGGAGCGCGUGGAGCGGGGUGUCCCUGCCUGGACGCUGCGGUAACCCCCCACCCCCGGGCUGCGUCCCGCCCUCGGGGCUCUGCGCACUCAGCCCGCGCCUACCCGCCGCCGGCCGCACCUCGCGGCCCCGAGGACGCCGUCGACCCCCAGUCCCCGCCUCGGCGGCCCCAGACCCCAGCGCGCCCAGCCGCAGCCCCCGACUCCACCGCUGGGACUGGGAGUUGGGCGGGGGUGGGGUGGGGAUUCCGGCGGAGAGGAGGCAGGCGUAGCAAGAAUUCGAGGAGGUAGAAAGCUGAGGGGCGCUGCGCCGCCGAGACUAGGUCACCUUAAAAGGCAGAGAGGAAAGAGCCGGGCGCGCGGACCCGCGGCCGGGCCGCCCCCUCCUGGCACCUGCUGCUGUAGCGCCGGGCCGCCCACGGGCGUGCGCGCGCGCGGGGGACGCGGGAUGCUCGCAGCCGCCCUGCCCUCAGGUUCCCAGCAAAGCAGCGGCGAGAGGGUGGAGGUCUUCCUGCCAGUAAUCUGAGAUGAGGGAUAAUGAGGUGACCCCGAGGCUCGAGAGGAUCCCCCAGCUCCGGAAGCAACCGCCAAGACUCCUUCCUCCCAGCUUUUGGCUCUUUGAUACCGGGCAGCUGCAAGUCCUCGACCGUGGUGGGGUAAAGUGAUGACAGAGAGAGGGCUGUGUGUGUGUGUGUGUUUCGGUCCAUUUAGUGAAAAGUGGGUAGAUGGGGCAGGGUGGGAAGGAGAGCUAGAGCAAUAGAAGGUGAACGCCAGACUGGGUGAAAAGGAAAGGGGGAAGGGAGAGAGAGAGACCUAGAGGCAGAGAUAAGAGAACGCAGAGGCAGAGAGACCGCGCGCCCGCCGAGGGCCAACUCCAUCCGAAGGCGUGCCUGCGAAAGGAGCUGUGAGCUGGAGAGAUGAACCGAAGUGAGCCGAUGGGUGGAGAGUCGGAGAAGUAUCUCGGAAAACUGGAGGAUUCUUUACAGCCUGAGCCACCAGGGAGCACAAGAAAACUGGAGUGGGCAGCCUGUCCCUUCCCCAGUGGAUCUUUUCAACCCAGGAAUCGAACAGGGGUCUCCGGCUUUGCAGGUCAGUGGAUGGAUGGCCUUAGCUGACAACGUCCUUUGGACGUACCUGUGGCAUCUUCCACGGAGGUCUAGUUAUGAAGCAGCCGGCCAGCAGGAAGCUGCCAGCUCACUGUCUAAGCACCAUGGUGAGUCAAUGCCUCCUGGCCUCCUGGUCAACUCAAGGCUCAGGACAAGAGGAGCCCCAUCCCACCUGGUCACUGUUUUCUCCUACGCAUGUGGUCAGGAAACCCUGACCAACCGCAGUGAAAACUAGAAUUCACUACCUUUGAUCGAUACACAGAUGUCUCAGUCCUACCGGGAACGGUCAUCAGUCUGAGGUUCUCUUCCUGCCUGACUCUGCCCUCUCCUCUUCUACCGAGUGAGGAAAGUUCUGGAUGGGGAUUGGGAGGGAAUCGUCAGUCCCAGGACUUGCCUCUCUCUGCUCCAUUCUGUCAAAAUGUAGUGAAACAGUGGGGGUCCAUCUUCCACUCCACACAGCUGAGUAUCUUCCUUGAAGAUGAAAGAACAGUUCAACUGAGUACAGCUGGAUCCGUGACGAACUCGUGAAGAAGAGCUGCAUGGCUCCCUGACACAGUGGACAUUGACAUGAUAAGAGAAAUAGACAUUUGUUUUUUCCUCAAGCCACUGUGAUUUGUGGUCUUCUUGUUUGUUUUUUAUUAUCCUUUAGCAAUUGAUAGGGAAUAUGAGAAUACCUCUUUCCUCACACAUUUGUCAGCAGGUAUUAAACCUUUGGAUCUUUGGUAGCUGUAGAUAAAAGUGGUAUCUUAAUGUCCUUCUUGUCUUCUUUUUUCUUAUAACAAAUGUGAUUAUUAAUAUUUUAUGUUAAUUAAAAGUGCAUCCUAUUUGUAGAGAACAUUGACAUUUCCUUUCUCACUUUUCUAUUGGUUCAUUAUUAUUGAUGUAUAGUAAUAUAAAGUUAACAAUACCAUAUUUGUCAAAAGUGAUUUCUUUU
ensembl:lncRNA